rnacentral:lncRNA from 1 species
AUACUUUUUCAGGUAUUUUGUGUCUGAUGUAUGUAAGAGCUUUAUUAUUGGGUUUCUUGGUGAGACCUUAUAUCUUAUGUGUCCUAUAACCCCCUGUAAUUGCGGAUUAUUGCAUACAUUCUAAUUGGGUUUUUUUUUGUAGGAGUCUGAAGAUGUAAAUGAUACAAUUUCAAACUUGUCACAACCCAUAUUGUGGUCGUUGGCAUCGAACUUACUAGAAUACGACUAGAAACUGUCAAUCAUACGUUAUCGAGGGAAAGGAUGAAAGUUCCAUAACAAGCAACAGUUGUUUUGAUGCAAUUAUUGCCUUAUUGGCAAGUUUUUACAUCUUCAAUAUUGAGUACUGCCACACGAAGAGCAUCUUGUCUGCCUUGCAGACUAUAGUAGUGCAUGGGCAAGACAGAAAAUGGCAUAUACAACUGCCAGUGAGGGUCACAGCCCUCUUCAAUGACUUGUCAUGACUCAUGAGUAUUAGUACUACAGUAAUUUUACACUUUUUGAGAGUUAUGUUGACAUAUGCUAACCCAAGUUAAUGUUAUUGAUGGAAUGUGUGUAUUGUCUCACAUCUCACCGAACUGUGGUAGAAAUUAUUCGUAUUGCGUUCAUGUUAACAACCGCGCCUGCUAUUGCUAUCACAAGUUGAUUGCUCUUUAAAAUUAGAAUUGUAAACUUUCGGAGCAUAUGGCAUAUAUGUACGAAUCUUUUGAUGGUUCCCACAUUUCGGUGAGAUACAUAAUACUGACUACUGUGC